UCGUAGUGACAAGUAGUGUGUGCAAGAGUGUUUCUUUAAAUAAUUAAAACACUUGUAAGUAGUGUUGUUUGUGGUGGUAAUGUUAAUACAUAAUUGUUAGGAUGCGUGAAAUUACAUAUCGUUGCGUGUGUUAUAAUAUAUGUGCUGUGAUAACGUUGUAUUAGCAGUGAAAUACGAGGUUGAUACAUCGGAAUGGAACACGCUACAUCAUCAUCUCCUUCAGCCAUAGCCGUGCGACCUUGAAACCGCUCUACUGUCAGAGGGGCUGACAGAGGAUUCCCCACCCAGUGACUUGGACGCUCCAGAACGUUUUAUGAAGUCGAAGGCAUCUGAAAACACGACAAAUUUCUAGGUUGAUGCAGUUUAUUAAUAACUCUGUGUUAACCUUGAUGAAGGAGGCAGAAAUAGUCUCCGAAUAAUUGAACUGGAACUCCGUGCCUGGCUGAUAACCCAAGAAGACUUCAUUGUA